UAACAUCUUUCAGGAAAUCAGGAUGAAGACUUUCGUGAUUCUCGCUUUGUUAUUCUGUAAGUAAGCAUUGACCUAUAUGGAAACGGCAGAUUCUUUUGAAGCAUCUCAUAAUGUGGCUCCAGUUCGAAUUGCAAGAUCCGCAAUUGUAA